rnacentral:rRNA from 1 species
UACAGAGGUCUCAAGCGUUGUUCGGAUUCAUUGGGCGUAAAGGGUGCGUAGGCGGGUCUGUAAGUCAGUGGUGAAAUCUCCGAGCUUAACUCGGAAACUGCCAUUGAUACUAUAGGUCUUGAAUUAUCUGGAGGUGAGCGGAAUAUGUCAUGUAGCGGUGAAAUGCUUAGAUAUGACAUAGAACACCAAUUGCGAAGGCAGCUCACUACGGAUAUAUUGACACUGAGGCACGAAAGCGUGGGGAUCAAACAGG